rnacentral:rRNA from 1 species
GACGAACGCUGGCGGCGUGCCUAAUACAUGCAAGUUGAGCGCUGAAGGUUGGUACUUGUACCAACUGGAUGAGCAGCGAACGGGUGAGUAACGCGUGGGGAAUCUGCCUUUGAGCGGGGGACAACAUUUGGAAACGAAUGCUAAUACCGCAUAAAAACUUUAAACACAAGUUUUAAGUUUGAAAGAUGCAAUUGCAUCACUCAAAGAUGAUCCCGCGUUGUAUUAGCUAGUUGGUGAGGUAAAGGCUCACCAAGGCGAUGAUACAUAGCCGACCUGAGAGGGUGAUCAGCCACAUUGGGACUGAGACACGGCCCAAACUCCUACGGGAGGCAGCAGUAGGGAAUCUUCGGCAAUGGACGAAAGUCUGACCGAGCAACGCCGCGUGAGUGAAGAAGGUUUUCGGAUCGUAAAACUCUGUUGGUAGAGAAGAACGUUGGUGAGAGUGGAAAGCUCAUCAAGUGACGGUAACUACCCAGAAAGGGACGGCUAACUACGU